CCUACGGGGGUCAGCAGUGGGGAAUAUUGCACAAUGGGGGAAACCCUGAUGCAGCGACGCCGCGUGAGUGAAGAAGUAAUUCGUUAUGUAAAGCUCUAUCAGCAGGGAAGAAAAUGACGGUACCUGAGUAAGAAGCACCGGCUAACUCCGUGCCAGCAGCCGCGGUAAUACGGAGGGUGCGAGCGUUAAUCUGAAUUACUGGGCGUAAAGCGAUCGUAGGCGGUAUGUCAAGUCAAGGGUGAAAUCCCCGCGCUCAACGGGGGAACUGCCUUUGAAACUGGCAAACUGGAGUGUGUGAGAGGAUAGUGGAAUUUCAGGGGUAGGAGUGAAAUCCGUAGAUAUCUGGAGGAACAUCAGUGGCGAAGGCGACUAUCUGGCACAUAACUGACGCUGAGGAGCGAAAGCGUGGGUAGCAAACAGGAUUAGAUACCCGAGUAGUC
rnacentral:rRNA from 1 species